CUCUAAUAUGACUGUAUCACUUGUAUCAUUCACAUGUCGAUUGAUCAGAUGUGAUGGACUAGUUGUGGUUAUCGAGGGUAUCACUGUCAGUGAUACCCUCGCUAGGGCCAUCACAGAUGAAUUAAGGAAUAUAAGGAUUUAUUUAUAUUUUAGGAGUUUUGCACGGGUUUGGUUUUUACAUUAUUGCGGCAUUGUGAGCGGUAUAUUU